UACGGAGGGUGCAAGCGUUAUCCGGAUUCACUGGGUUUAAAGGGUGCGUAGGUGGGCAGGUAAGUCAGUGGUGAAAUCUUUGGGCUUAACCCGGAAACUGCCAUUGAUACUAUUUGUCUUGAAUACUGUGGAGGUCAGCGGAAUAUGUCAUGUAGCGGUGAAAUGCUUAGAUAUGACAUAGAACACCAAUUGCGAAGGCAGCUGGCUACACAAAUAUUGACACUGAGGCACGAAAGCGUGGGGAUCAAACAGG
rnacentral:rRNA from 1 species